rnacentral:pre_miRNA from 1 species
GAAUGUGUGGAUGGUGUUCAGCACCAGCGACAGGUAUGUAUAUCUGAAUGUGUGGAUGGUGUUCAGCACCAAGGACAGAUGUGUGUACUU